rnacentral:rRNA from 1 species
UACGGAGGUCCCAAGCGUUGUUCGGAAUUACUGGGCGUAAAGGGAGCGCAGGCGGAUAGUUAAGUCUAAAGUGGAAUCCAGGGGCUCAACCUCUGAACUGCUUCGGAUACUGGUUGUCUUGAGUUCGUGAGAGGAAAGCGGAAUUCAGGGUGUAGCGGUGAAAUGCUUAGAUAUCCUGAGGAACACCGAUGGCGAAAGCAGCUUUCUGGCGCGAUACUGACGCUGAGGCUCGAAAGCGUGGGGAGCGAACGGG